GAUGAACGCUGGCGGCGUGCCUAAUACAUGCAAGUCGAACGAACAGACGAUGAGCUUGCGCCGUUGACGUUUGCGGCGGGCGGGUGUGUAACACGUGUAUCACCCACUUAUAAUACUGGUAAAAUCACGGGAAACGGGCUCUUAUACCGUAGAAUAUAUUGAACCGCAGGGGUCAAUGGUGAAAUACGGCUGUGCGGGCUCGUAUAGAUGGAUCCCCGCCGCAUUAGCUGGUUGGUCAGGUAACGGCUUAUCAAGGCGACGAGGCGUAGGCGACGUGACUGACGGAUAGCCCACACGGGAACUGAGACACGGUCCAGACUCCUGCGGGAGGCAGCAGUCGGGAAUGUUCCGCAGUGGGCGAAAGCAUUACACAGCAAGCCCGCGUCAGUGAUGACGGUCUUCCGUGCGUAAAGCUCUGUUAUGAGGGAAGAACAACUGUGUAAGUAAAUAUAGCCGUCUUGACGGUACCUAAUCAGAAAGCACCGGCUAACUACGUG
rnacentral:rRNA from 1 species